UUUGAGUCUCUCUUGUCAACUGGGAGUUUGAGUAUGUGGCACAUUUGGAAAUUCAACCCAUCCUGACCUAGCAACUGGCAAAAGAGAAAUCUAUCAGUUGCUGUUUAAACCUCAGAGUUCUGCUUGCCUUUGUCUCAUCGGAGCAGGAGUCUAUGAGAUCAUUCAAGUAUGGAGACUUGGCAGCUUCUCUGUACGUACAAAGACGGCUGUUUGAAUGUCAGACUGAGUGUCUUUCUGGCUAAAGAGAGGUGGUACACGUGCCGCUCACAGUGCAAGUCUGAGCUUCUGCUUCGAGCAGUAUUUGAGAAAUGCUAAAAGUGCCAGAAAUACAGUAAAUACAUAUAGUUUCCACAUGCUGCUUGGCUGGUUAUCUGGUUCCAUUCUUCGUGUCAAAAGAGUCAAGAAACCAAGACAUUACUGUUCAU